rnacentral:misc_RNA from 1 species
GUUGAGUACUCGAUUAAUUGUUUUGAUGGAAUAAAAGAUAAGAAUAACCCACAACUAAACAAAAGGGAAAUAAAAGAACAAUUUUUACAACUGGUUUCAGCUUUUCCUUAAUUUUUUUGCCCCACUUUGUUACUUUAAUGUUUCUUCCUCCUUCCCUCUUAGGAUUGGUAUUCUUGGCUGAUCAUCACCCGCACACAUAUUUUACUUUGCAAAACGGCUGACACCCUAAACUUCAUUCCUUCCUAGUAAGUAUUUUUCACUAAAUUAAUACAUUGAUUUGUACAAGAGAGCUGAUUACAUGGUGCGAGAGACUACUUCCGCGAUGAGAUGCUUUGUUGACCUGCUGAAGACACUGUUCCAUUACUUACAGAAUGGUCAUGAUCUGUUUUUACCCUCCGAUAGAAAAGCACAUAAGCAGCAGCAGACUUCACAUCUUCUUCAUUAAUCGGUGAUAUGUGGCUGUCAUCAAAGUU